UACGUAGGAUGCAAGCGUUGUCCGGAUUUACUGGGCGUAAAGCGCGCGCAGGCGGCACUCUAAGUACGUCGUGAAAUCUACCUGCUCAACGGGUAGGGUGCGAUGUAGACUAGGGAGCUUGAGGUCGGUAGAGGGGGGUGGAAUUGCUGGUGUAGCGGUGAAAUGCGUAGAGAUCAGCAGGAACACCCGUGGCGAAGGCGGCCCCCUGGGCCGUACCUGACGCUGAGGCGCGAAGGCUAGGGGAGCGAACGGG
rnacentral:rRNA from 1 species